rnacentral:piRNA from 1 species
GUUUGUGUAUUAGUGACCUAGGU